GCUGGGCACUCCGAGACCAUGGGGAAGCUCGUGGCGCUGGUCCUGCUGGGGGUCGGCCUGUCCUUAGUCGGGGAGAUGUUCCUGGCGUUUAGAGAAAGGGUGAAUGCCUCUCGAGAAGUGGAGCCAGUAGAACCUGAAAACUGCCACCUUAUUGAGGAACUUGAAAGUGGCUCUGAAGAUAUUGAUAUACUUCCUAGUGGGCUGGCUUUUAUCUCCAGUCUGCAGGUCUGUUGGAGUUUGCUGGAAGUCCACUCCAGACCCUGUUUGCCUGGGUAUCACCAGUGGAGGCUGCAGAACGGCAAAUAUUGCUGCCUGAUUUUUCUUCUGGAAGCUUCAUCCCAGAGGGGCAUCCACCUGUAUGAGGGAUUAAAAUAUCCAGGCAUGCCAAACUUUGCGCCAGAUGAACCAGGAAAAAUCUUCUUGAUGGAUCUGAAUGAACAAAACCCAAGGGCACAAGCACUAGAAAUCAGUGGUGGAUUUGACAAAGAAUUAUUUAAUCCACAUGGGAUCAGUAUUUUCAUCGACAAAGACAAUACUGUGUAUCUUUAUGUUGUGAAUCAUCCCCACAUGAAGUCCACUGUGGAGAUAUUUAAAUUUGAGGAACAACAACGUUCUCUGGUAUACCUGAAAACUAUAAAACAUGAACUUCUCAAAAGUGUGAAUGACAUUGUGGUUCUUGGACCAGAACAGUUCUAUGCCACCAGAGACCACUAUUUUACCAACUCCCUCCUGUCAUUUUUUGAGAUGAUCUUGGAUCUUCGCUGGACUUAUGUUCUUUUCUACAGCCCAAGGGAGGUUAAAGUGGUGGCCAAAGGAUUUUGUAGUGCCAAUGGGAUCACAGUCUCAGCAGACCAGAAGUAAGCUCUUUUAUGUAUUUUUCUAUCCUUUGCCCUUGACAUUUUCGUGGACUCCUUUCCUUACGAGGAAGUUACUUCCUUACUUAGGCUUACGUAGUGAAUAUAUGUGUGGAGGGAUCAGUUGUGGCCAGGGUUCACACUAAAUCUGUCAUCCUAAGCAAUCCAUUUGUUUCCUUGGACUUUAGGUUCUUCCCAGUUAAAGGAGGGAUGUGGACUUAAGGAUAUAAGGACCUCAUUCCAAAUUUUUACAUAACUCUUGAAACACACUUUCCUAACACACUACAAAGGAAGAUAAAUGAGCAAUACCCCUGCCCCUUAUGAAAGUACAAAGUAUUUGACCACUUAUGCUAAGUUCAGUUACACAAAAGCUCUUAGGAGAGA
rnacentral:sRNA from 1 species